rnacentral:rRNA from 1 species
AUUGAACGCUGGCGGCAGGCUUAACACAUGCAAGUCGAGCGGGGUGAUGGUGCUUGCACUAUCACUUAGCGGCGGACGGGUGAGUAAUGCUUAGGAAUCUGCCUAUUAGUGGGGGACAACAUCUCGAAAGGGAUGCUAAUACCGCAUACGUCCUACGGGAGAAAGCAGGGGAUCACUUGUGACCUUGCGCUAAUAGAUGAGCCUAAGUCGGAUUAGCUAGUUGGUGGGGUAAAGGCCUACCAAGGCGACGAUCUGUAGCGGGUGUGAGAGGAGGAUCCGCCACACUGGGACUGAGACACGGCCCAGACUCCUACGGGAGGCAGCAGUGGGGAAUAUUGGACAAUGGGGGGAACCCUGAUCCAGCCAUGCCGCGUGUGUGAAGAAGGCCUUAUGGUUGUAAAGCACUUUAAGCGAGGAGGAGGCUCUUUUGGUUAAUACCCAAGAUGAGUGGACGUUACUCGCAGAAUAAGCACCGGCUAACUCUGUGCCAGCAGCCGCAGUAA